rnacentral:rRNA from 1 species
GUGAGGAAUAUUGCGCAAUGGAGGCAACUCUGACGCAGCCAUGCCGCGUGCAGGAAGAAGGCGCUACGCGUUGUAAACUGCUUUUAACCGGGAAGAAACCCCAGGACGUGUCCUGGGUUGACGGUACCGGAGGAAUAAGCACCGGCUAACUUCGUGCCAGCAGCCGCGGUAAUACGAAGGGUGCAAGCGUUAUCCGGAUUCAUUGGGUUUAAAGGGUGCGUAGGCGGAGCGUUAAGUCAGUGGUGAAAUCCUGCAGCUUAACUGUAGACUUGCCAUUGAUACUGGCGCUCUUGAGUGCGCUUGAAGUGGGCGGAAUGUGCCGUGUAGCGGUGAAAUGCUUAGAUAUGGCACAGAACACCAAUUGCGAAGGCAGCUCACUAAGGCGAUACUGACGCUGAGGCACGAAAGCGUGGGGAUCGAACAGGAUUAGAUACCCUGUAGUCC